CUACGACCUUUGAGUUAGUAUUAACACCGUAUUCUAAUCCAUGUGACAGACUGUAUUAUAGUUCUGUCAUCUUGCCAAUAUGGGAAAAUAUGCUUUUUAUGAUUAAAUGAGCAAGAAAAUAGGACUGAGAAAUAACUC